GUCUUAUACAAUUUGGUAUCGUGACAUAUUAGGAAAUCCAUUCGACUCAUUUACCUACUGAAUGGAUGAUCUGGACAUCGCCAUAGACAGCACGGACUUAGCUUUAGAACAUCCUGACUUGUUGAACGUACUAGAGCCAGCUGAUUUAUUACCAACUAGGCUUUCACUAGAUGAAGGGUUAUCAAAUCGUACCAACACCCUAACCCCUUCUGAAGCUUUCGUAGAGCCUUCCGAUUUACUAGCUGAACACCCCAAGGUAUUUUUAGAACCUCAUAUUAAAGUGGAACCAACUGAUAUUGUAGUUGAACACCCUAAAAUCCUAGCUAAAUCAACCGAUAUUAACGUCGAGCCUGACGAUAUAGUUUUGGAACACUUUCGAACAGCAGUGGGAUCAAAUCACAUAAAAGUUGAACCAACUAAUAGACUCAUAGAAAAUCUAAAGUUAGUUGACUUUUUAGAUAUAGAACCACAAUAUGUGACUGUAGAAAAUUCAAUUAGUAGAAAUGUUAACGUAAAGGCAGAACCAUCUCAUUUGAGUUUAGGACACAAGAAGCUAGAUGAAAAAUCAACUCAUUUAGGAUUGGAAGUGGAUAAAUUAAUAUUGAAACAUACAAGAGAAAAAGUUGCAAAAGUCGAAUCUAAUUUAGAAGAACACCCUGCAGUAGUCAGUAAAUCACCCGUAGUAUCUGUAGAGCCAAGGGAUAUAGCAACAGAGCAUCCCAAAUUAGCAGUCAACUACGAAUUAAAAAUAGACACAAACUUCCUAGUGCAAGAGCACCCUAAAAUUGUGAAAAGGUUUUACCCAAUUUACGUGGAACCAAACUUCAUUGCCACAGAACACCCUAAAGUUCUGAAAUCAUCUAAAGACAUCGCAGUUGAACCAACGGAUAUCGUAGUAGAGCAUCCGAAAAUCGUCAAGAAACUAUCCAUCAACAUAGAGCCUUCCGACAUUGUAGAAGAGCAUCCAGAUUUGUUGGAUUUUUCACCAGACAACUUUAUGCUUAGAUAAUUGUGAAUACACAUUUUGAACCAAAAGAAACUUUCCAUAGAAGCAGUGAAAUCUCCUGAUAUUUCGAGAACCCCUACAUCACUAGGUAGCCAACAAACGCUAUCAUACUUUAAGUCUACCAAUAAGAAGACAUUAAUUACAGAAUAUCAUAAGUCAAAUUCAUCUAAAAGAAUGCAGGAGCACCAACCCUCUCAGUACAGUGAGGAUGGCACAGAUUUCGCAAAUGGAAAACAAGGAACCAACCAAGGUGACUUUAAAACAUUUAAAGCAGCUGAAAAAAUGGCAGAAGAACAAAUGAAGCAGCCUGGAAUGGACAUAGACUCUAUAGAAAUCGUACCUAGAGCUAUGUGGAACGCUGUUGAGCCUAAAUCCAAAAUACCUCUGGACAAACCAAUAACAGCUGUGCUUGCUACCUAUACUGGGACUGAGCCUUGUUUUGAUGAUGUGGAUUGCAAGAGAAUCAUUCAGAAUCUCCAGAUAAGCCAGAUGGAACAGAAACAGCUACCAGAUAUUCAGUGGAAUGUUGGAUAGUUUCAUGAUCGGAGGCACUGGCCAAGUGUACGAAGGCCGAGGAUUUGAUAAUCUGGCUUCCAAACCUCCUCACUACAACAAGGAGGCGUUGGACUCGCUGGAUAUUGCUUACAUUGGCAACAACGAGGAGGAACAGCUGGUCCCAUGUAUGUUCGCAAGUUUAAACGGACUGAUUGCAACAGCAUUAGAACGAGGUUUCUUGACCAAACCCUUCGCUUACUUACAAGAUUCUCCUCAGUAUAGAAGGGUGUUAAGGCUUUACUAAAGGUGUGUAACAAUAGUUGAGAAAUUCGGGUUGUGUUGCUGUUUUGUUAGUGUUUUAACAAAGAAAUCCUAUAUUGGACUGUUUCAUAGUUAACUAAUAAUUUAUGGUACCCUUAAGUGUUUUUG